UAUAUAUAUAUAUUCUUUCUCUGUUCGUGCCUCGAUACAGACGCAGGAAUCACGAAACACGCGUGACGGUUCGCAGAGAUUCUAAUUAUAAGUCAGUUUCUAAUGGAACCGCCUGGAAUUGCCGCUUCAGAUACCACGAGAAUUAUAUCCGACCUCUUCCUACGGAAUACCAAAUGAACAAACGAAAGCCUCGUUAAGCUCAUAAAUAAACGAACAGCGCCUCCCCCACCACCACGUUGGUGGUUCUGCUCUUGCCCGCCGAGGCCUUAGAGGAGCGCUACCAUUUUCGAUCUAAUCCGGAGGUCGCGGAGGAACGAGCUUCAACCUCGCAUGAAUUAUUCGCCAACGAUUCUUAAUCCGCUUAAUCCGUAGACAUUUUUCUUCCCAUUCAUCCACUCCUCUGUCUUCAUUCUUCUUUUCUUUCUCUCUUUCUUUCCCUUUCUUGGCGAUGAUGCAACACGCGCGUAAGAAUUUUCGAAUCGUGCGAAACUUUUUCGCUAAAAAUUCACGAAUAAAGUUGCGAGAAUUUUUCUCGCUACUUUAAAUUAAUCUCUUGUUUCUUGCUACAGGGCGCAACUUGUUGUUGCGCCCAUUAUCCGAUCCAUUCUCUCGAUUGUAAUAACGUUCGACGCUUACAAUGAUUCAUACGCACGGAAGCGAAAGAUCGGAUGAGAUUCGGAUCACGUCUUCUCUUUGGCCCAGGAAUUUUCGUCACGCGACGUCUCUCCUAGUAUCUACGAUCGGGCAAAGAGAAUCGAACCAAUUUCUCGGUUUGUAGAAGCCGUAGAAUCGUAUCUCGCGAUGAAUUAUUCAAACCACUAUAAUCCGCCAAUGUACGAAAUUCUUCUUCUUAUUCUUUCCUUUAACGCGCCAUCAUCCAUUAAUCUCUCGAUUAUUUCCUCCUUCUUAAUUAUAAUAACGUAAUACGAUAUCGAUCCACCCUUGGGACGAUGAAAUAUCGCAUCGUUUCCCAAGAAUCUUUCAACGAUAUAUUGCAAUAUCUUUUCUUUUUUGCCAGGAACAGGCCAAAGAAGAGAAUCGAGCCCCGAUUCCGUUGUGGCACGAGUUAAACGGACGUUUCCAGGAAUCGAUCUGGCCUCCUUUCAGCGCGGUACGAAGGGAGCAUGUCGAAAAUAAAUUCGAGACCCGAUGGAUCGGCGAACGGGCACGAACACCACUAGCAGAUCCAGCAGGGAAAUAUACCGUUAGCGCGUUGCCCACGAAUAGUUCACGGCGAUCGAGCGAGCCCGAUUUUUUUUUGUCAGCCUCGCUGGCUCACCUACUUACAGCUCCGCCAUUUACGUCCCCAUCGUUGGUCCAACAGCGGGCCUUUUUCUUCCUUUUGGACCGCCGGGCUGCUUCGCUUCACCGCUAUUCCGAUUUUCGGUGACGUGGCUUUUUUUCUCCUUCUUUUCCUUCCUUCUUUUCUUUUUUCCAACGCUUUCAUCAUUUUCGAUCGAUGCUUUAGAUACACUCGAAUUCCACGUUAUUUCAGAGAUUAAAAUUGUAAAUAAAAUUCGUCAAAUAUUUUCGAAUAUAUUACGUACAAUGAUUUACGAUUGAAAUAUUUCUAUUUUCUCCGUGAUUUUUUAUAACGUUCGAUAAUUCGUUCUCCAACGUAAUUUUAUUAAAUCUACUUAAAAAAAGGGAAAAACACGGGCAAGCAUCAUCACCAGGCGCAAGACAUUUCCUUCAUAAAUAACGACAUCGCCCCUAAUGAAGAUGUCUCGAGCGUUCAAACGUUGGAGCUCGUUACAUCCCCUCGUACAUAAUAAUAAUUUGGCCACGGCAUGGGUAUUAAUUUUAAUUAAAUAGUUUUAUUGUUUCGAAAUGAUAAUUCCCUCCACUCCGUGGGUAAUGGUAAUGCCGUUUGGGGAUCCGUCAUGUGAACCUGUGAACGAUGCUAGACCGGAGGGAAGGGAAAACCUCGGGAAGAAAUAUAUAUAUAUAUAUUCGAAUUCGUUACGUGUACUUUGAAAAGUAAUAGUAUUUGCACCGUAGAACAGGGUGGGAAGAGGAUCUCUCUUCUGACACACACAGGCAACAAUGGAGGCCGGGUUUAUUCAUCACCUUGAUGCGUACGAUAUCCCCCCAAUUCACUUUUGCCGCGAACAACCUCAACCGUGACAAUUUAUUACGAGGAAACACGGAAUAAACCCUGCAACGAACGAGGAAUAUUAACCCAUUGAAAAAUAUUCCGCCGUUCUACACGGCCGUCUACACUCCCAUCCGCGAGCCGUCAGACACGUAGGUAAUUUGAAACGAAGUGCGAAGAGUUCGUUGAAUUUAAUUUCGCGAUAAGUUUAGCUCGGCCCGACCUUGUUUUCGACUCUAUUAUUACACUCUCUCGAGGGCACUUACUCUUCGUACUUUACUUUUUUACACUCGAUAAAAUAAUAGAGACGUAAAAAUUAAAAUUCUUAAACGUUCUCGACGAGAAGAGAAUUUUUUAAGGGGCAAUGUAUCAUCAUGAUUCUUAUCGAUCGUUCGAAUCGGCCGUAAAGAUAAAAAAAGAAAAAGACGAAAAAAAAAAAAACACCUACACCUAUAAAACAUUGAUCAAUCCGUGAAUCCAUUCGGUUUCGUUUCACGAUACAACUACUAUUGCUCGUUGGCGGGACAGCGGCGAUGAAUAGGCGAUAAUUGAAACGGUCGAUGUUGCAAGAAGCGGCCGGCCAUCGCAUCAGGGUCAGCAACGAGGAAGCGGGCGGUGGAAAAGAAGGGAAAAGGAGAGAGAGAAGAAAAGAAGGUGGAGGGGGGAGGAACGAUCCCCCGGUUGCAUAAUCCCGAUUUCGAUCCCCCUCGGCCGUCGUUCUUGUCUCGGGGUCAGCGUGCUUCGAAGAAAAUCACUUUCCUUCCCAUAGAAGCUACGUGUAUAUAAUGUACCGCGACCGCUCAUCGAGCAUACGUGCAUACGCGCACGUAAAAUAUACACUCGACGCGCACGCGCACAGACACGCGCAACCGCUUGCCUGCUUGGCUGGCUGUAGAGAGCGGCGGAGCGCGUGCACCGAUUCUUCCUUCCUCCUCCUGCUCUUCCUGGUUUCUCAGCUCGUUACGAGGCAACCGACAAAUUAUCGGUGCUCCCUUGCGCUCCCUCCGGUGUUCAACGUAAUACACUGCGAGGGGAGGAGAGGGAAGGAUAGGGAAGGACGGAGCGAGGAACGACAGCACGAAAUCUCGGAUGCGCCUAGUAAACGCAGGCCUCCGCGUAUACUUUCACUUCCUUUCCACCUCGCAGCAGAGAGAGCUUCCCAUCUUUCUCCCCCUUCGACUCUCGCCACCUCUCGCUCCCUCCGGAUCUCUCGGACAUAGAACUACUUUUCCUUUCAAACCCUUGGACCGAGGGUAUUACCCGUACCGAAUUCGUACUUUUUUCAUACGUAUUUAUACUUGUACGGCGUACGCACCGACCUCUCGCCUCCUCCCCCUCCUCCCCUCUCGCUCCAUGCGACGAAUUAGGCGUGGGAUAAAUAGGUGUCGCGUCCAUCGGUGGCUAUUGCCGGUCGAUCACUGAACGAGAAGGACUCGCGGAGGAGGGAGAAGGAAGGUGGAGGAAGAAUGAAAGAGGGAAACGUGGCGUGACCUUUCCGCCGCGCGAGGAAGAGGAGAGGAGGCGCAGGAGCGGCGCAGUCUGCGUGGAGCAUUGGUGGCCGGGCGAGGGAGCAAGGGUGAGAAUGGGAAGGCUGUGGAAAAUAUUAGAGGCGGAGGAGUAAGGAGGGUACAUCCCGACGUUUUCUCUCGAACUGAUGGGAACAAGGAGAAUGCCGAAGAGAGGAGGCGGACCAGGAUGUUUCGCGCGUGUCGCUUUCGCGUGAUAUACGCGGAGACGAAGAAGAAGAGGACGUUGACGUUAGACCCAUAAUAACAACUACAACAUAAACCACCGAUUCUUCGACUUGACAACUUUCGCUUCAAUUGGACAGGUACAUAAGCCGAAGGCGAAAAGGAAGAAUAAGGGAAUGGAGGGAUUGAGAAUGGAAGGUGGGAAGAGACGGCACACACAGCAGAGUGAAGAAGAAAAAGAAGAGGAAAAAGGUUGGCCAGGAUGUUUAAUAUGCGAUCGACGAAGGAAACAUUAAACAAGGAGAAAAAUCAUCGAUAAAUAAAUUGAAGAUAAAUGAAAAGACACAAAGUAGCAAAGGAGUAUCUAGGAAAGGAUGCUGAAAAAAAAGAAAAAAAGAAAAAGAACGUUGAUGUCAGCAACAACGAUCGAUAACGACGACCAUCGAUUAAUAAGCGUAAGACGAAAAGCAAGAAGAAGAGGAAGAAGAAGAAGAGAAAGAGAAUAGGAGAUGAAAAAGAAGGUGGUGGACGUGUCGAAGAAAAGGAGACAAGAAGAAACGUGGAAACAAGAAAGCGAGGAGGGUCCCGAUGAUAGAGACAACUCUCCACCGCGGUGGAACGAGCGCGAAGGAGCAUGCAGAGGAAGAGACUGCGAAGGAAGGCUGCAGAAGGUGGGUUGGCGAGUAGUGGAGCGGGCCGGUGGGGUGGAGAGGGGCAGAGGAGGUGAGUCGAGAUGAUGCAGUUGUGCGUUUGCAAGGAAGGCGGAAGGAGGAACCGCGGAGGGAACCGGUCCCGGUCACUGGGCCACCAGCCGGCCGUCGAACCCGCCACACUGCCCCCUACCACCCCCUACCCCACCUUUUCCUCGCCAUCUUUCUGUCCCUCGCUCUUCCUCGCGUCUCGCUCGCGGCCUGUCUCUGUCUCGCUUCCUUCGCUCUCCCUCUGCGCGCAAAUCCCUCUGCCGCCUCCUCCUCCCACUCCUCCUCCUCCUCCUCCUCCUCCGCUCCCUUAGGAAAGCGUGCCUCCAUCGCGAAACCUUUCUCAAUUCGUCGACGAACGCGACGAAAAUGACGAAGCACAAAAUUGACCACGAGGAUGAAAAUGAAGAAACGAAGACAAAGAGGAAAACAAAGAUGAAAGAUGGUACGACAAAGAAGAUGAUUACUCUUAGAUACCUUCCUCCUCUUCCUCCUCUUCCUCUUCUUCUUCUUCGAGUUCUUCAAACAAUGUCAACCGGCGUGUGCGGCAUUGUAUGCGCCGAUAAUGCCACCGGUGGCCACCAUGUUUACCGGCCCGAGGCUAUAUGCUAGAGGAGACAUGUUCCCGCCGUGACCGACGUUUUCGCGUGUCUCCUCGUCCCCUCCAAAGAUCGCACGCUUUUAACGGUGAGAAUGAACACGAAUCGGAUGGACGAUGCUCGAUCCUGUUCCGGAUGAACUUGCCGUUUAAAUAGGCGAAGAGCUCGGUACGAUGAUAGAUUCGAAGAUUAUUGGUGAUAUAAUGGUAAAUUUAAAACGGUAAUUUUUCUUGGGAAUCGUUCUUUUAUCAUCUAUUCGAAUUGAUAAGGGUAAUCUCGGUUGACUCGGGCGAAGAGGCGAACGUCGAUGGGCGCGCGCGUGUGCAAACACGGUCGAUAUAUCGAAGCGGUGAAAAGGAACGGAGACACGGGCACGGUCGUUCGCGUGGAAGAAUGGAGGAAUUAGUUUUGGAUCGGGCUUUCGAUCGUGAGAGAGCAGGCGAGCAGGUAGCGCAAACGGAAGCUUAGUACUCGUACACGGUAAUCUCGCCGAGAUACGCCAAACAUUUUCUCUUAAUUAAGAAAGGACGUGGCCGUAAUUAAGUUUCCCUUCCACGUUAUUCUCCUGCUCGUUUCAAGCCGUGCCGCGCGUUACGCCGUCAAAACAGAGUGUUCAGUGGCUUCGAACGAUGACUUCUGCUUUCCAUUAACCACUCUAAUUCGUCAAAACUGCGAUAAUUCUUUUAUACAGUUAUUACAUGCUCGAAUUUUUCUCGUUUUCGUUCGAAGAUCGAUUCUAGAAGCCUAAAAAAAAAAAACGAACGAAAUAAAAGUUUGUAUGCAAAAAUAUCAGCUCGAGCUUAUUUAUGAACGACGUAAAUUUGCGCUGGAUAAAGCGAGAUAGAGAAAGCAAGAUGGUCGUACAACGAAGAUAGAGCUUUUUCACUCUAUUUGUAUCUUACUUUAUCUAAUUUAUUUAAACUUCAAUUGCUUAUAACUUAUAUAACCUAAUAAAUACGCCUUGAUCAA